rnacentral:rRNA from 1 species
AUGAACGCUAGCGGCAGGCCUAAUACAUGCAAGUCGAGGGGCAGCAGGAAUAGCAAUAUUUGCUGGCGACCGGCGCACGGGUGCGUAACACGUAUACAAUCUACCUUUAACUGGGGGAUAGCCCGGAGAAAUCCGGAUUAAUACCGCAUACGCCCUACGGGGGAAAGCCGGGGAUCUUCGGACCUGGCGCUAGUAGAUGAGCCCGCGUGAGAUUAGCUUGUUGGUGGGGUAAUGGCCUACCAAGGCAACGAUCUCUAGCUGGUCUGAGAGGACGAUCAGCCACACUGGGACUGAGACACGGCCCAGACUCCUACGGGAGGCAGCAGUGGGGAAUAUUGGACAAUGGGCGAAAGCCUGAUCCAGCAAUGCCGCGUGUGUGAAGAAGGCCUGAGGGUUGUAAAGCACUUUCAAUCGUGAAGAAAAGUUGCAGGCUAAUACCCUGUGACCUUGACGUUAACGAUACAAGAAGCACCGGCUAACUCCGUG